rnacentral:rRNA from 1 species
UACGUAGGUGGCAAGCGUUGUUCGGAAUUACUGGGCGUAAAGCGCGCGUAGGCGGUGAUCUUUGUCAGAGGUGAAAUCCCGAGGCUCAACUUCGGAAUUGCCUUUGAAACGGGAUCGCUUGAGUCCGAGAGAGGAUGGCGGAAUUCCUAGUGUAGAGGUGAAAUUCGUAGAUAUUAGGAAGAACACCGGUGGCGAAGGCGGCCAUCUGGCUCGGUACUGACGCUCAGGCGCGAAAGCGUGGGGAGCAAACAGG